GUGGGUAGUUUGACUGGGGCGGUCUCCUCCUAAAGAGUAACGGAGGAGCACGAAGGUUGGCUAAUCCUGGUCGGACAUCAGGAGGUUAGUGCAAUGGCAUAAGCCAGCUUGACUGCGAGCGUGACGGCGCGAGCAGGUGCGAAAGCAGGUCAUAGUGAUCCGGUGGUUCUGAAUGGAAGGGCCAUCGCUCAACGGAUAAAAGGUACUCCGGGGAUAACAGGCUGAUACCGCCCAAGAGUUCAUAUCGACGGCGGUGUUUGGCACCUCGAUGUCGGCUCAUCACAUCCUGGGGCUGAAGUAGGUCCCAAGGGUAUGGCUGUUCGCCAUUUAAAGUGGUACGCGAGCUGGGUUUAGAACGUCGUGAGACAGUUCGGUCCCUAUCUGCCGUGGGCGCUGGAGAACUGAGGGGGGCUGCUCCUAGUACGAGAGGACCGGAGUGGACGCAUCACUGGUGUUCGGGUUGUCAUGCCAAUGGCACUGCCCGGUAGCUAAAUGCGGAAGAGAUAAGUGCUGAAAGCAUCUAAGCACGAAACUUGCCCCGAGAUGAGUUCUCCCUGAGACUUAAAGUCUCCUGAAGGAACGUUGAAGACGACGACGUUGAUAGGCCGGGUGUGUAAGCGCAGCGAUGCGUUGAGCUAACCGGUACUAAUGAACC
rnacentral:rRNA from 1 species